rnacentral:rRNA from 1 species
ACAUGCCUACAGCAUAGUGUUAAUGCACUGGAUCUCAUUAGAACUCUGCAAUUAAGCGCGCUCAAGAUAGAAUAAUACUUGGAUGGGUGACCGCUUGGGAAGUCCUAGUGAUUUACAUGCC